UACAAGGCCUCUGCUUAACAUCUACCGUUGGUGGAAAUCUUUGUGGGGAUUGUGCAAUUAUAUACUUCCAACCAGAGGAAUUUUUCUUCAAAAGAAGAUUGUGUAGUCCCAUAUUUGUCCAAAAUGCGACAUGGAUGUUGAAAAUGAAAUCCAUGCACUGUCAUCGUUUGAGGCGGUUGAAAAGAAUUACCAUGGAGGUCCUCAAAAGCUAACGAUAAAAGAUCACCCCUCCAUAGAAACUGUUUGUCUCAUCAUAAGGAAUCUUCUCUCCGGAAACCAGCAAUAGGACUUGAUUAAUGAAACCCAUGAAAGGAAAACAAAAUUAUUCAUGCUUUAGCAAUCCAUGGAGAGUCCAUGGAGUCCUUGGGCAACCGAUCGGGAUAUGCUGACUCACUCUUUCAACCUCAACAAUUUGUUUAAUGCUCUGUUUUAUUUCUGUUUCUCUAUAUAUGUGUAUAAGUGUAUAUAUAUAUAUAUUAAACUGCAAAUUUGAAUAACUUUAAAACCUCAUGCAAACUACUAGUGGCAAUGAAUUUAAAUAGCAUUUCUUAUAGUUUCUGCAUUAUUUAAUAUUGUUAUAUUAUUCAGUAACAUGAACAAGAACUAUUGUUGUCUAUAAGUAAAAACAAGAACAAGAACUUACGCAUUAGCAUUUAGAGAUUUUGUGAAAGAAAAUAAGUCCGCUGGAAAAGUCCUACUCUUGCAUGCAUUAGGAUUUGGGCAUAGCCGAGCAGCAGCGAUUGGCAGUAGAAUUAUGGCUGUCCUAUCUACCGGUUGUUUAGGUGAGGUGGUGAGAGUUGAUCAAAUGAAACUCUACACGCACCAGAUAAGCAAGCAACUCUAGCCUGGACAGCCAUUCAUUCCAUUCCUACUGAUCUUCACAGUUAACAUCAUUAACCAUUUAUAUACACAUUAAUAUACAUACAUACAACUCAUAUACCAUUAACUAAGAAUCAAGCAGUUGAGUUAACAACAGGACUACUA